rnacentral:rRNA from 1 species
GAUGAACGCUAGCGGCAGGCUUAACACAUGCAAGUCGAGGGGUAUAGGUUUUCGGACCUAGAGACCGGCGCACGGGUGCGUAACGCGUAUGCAAUCUACCUUUCACAGAGGGAUAGCCCAGAGAAAUUUGGAUUAAUACCUCAUAGUAUAGCAGUUUCGCAUGAAACCACUAUUAAAGUAUCAACGGUGAAAGAUGAGCAUGCGUCCCAUUAGCUAGAUGGUAAGGUAACGGCUUACCAUGGCUACGAUGGGUAGGGGUCCUGAGAGGGAGAUCCCCCACACUGGUACUGAGACACGGACCAGACUCCUACGGGAGGCAGCAGUGAGGAAUAUUGGUCAAUGGACGCAAGUCUGAACCAGCCAUGCCGCGUGCAGGAUGACGGUCCUAUGGAUUGUAAACUGCUUUUGUACGAGAAGAAACAACAUUACGUGUAAUGUCUUGACGGUAUCGUAAGAAUAAGGAUCGGCUAACUCCGUGCCAGCAGCAGCCGCAGUAA